AUGGACGAACAGGUGAAGUUGCAACCAUGGUACUCGCAAGAUUACAAGAUGUUGAUGCUGAUGAGGAAUAAGAAAGUUGGAGAGUUAGAAAAAGAAAAACAUAUUUCUAAUUCAAAUUCUGAUGCUGAUGAGGUUGUUUAUUUAGUGGAUGAAGAAAUUGAGCUUGAUUCUAUUGGUUUUAAGGGUGGAUCGGAAAUUUCAUUAGAAUGUAAGAUGUAUAUUACACUAUUUAUUGAUUUGGAGAAGAAGCCAUUUUCCUGUGAGAACUAG